CCUACGGGAGGCAGCAGUGGGGAAUAUUGGACAAUGGGGGCAACCCUGAUCCAGCCAUGCCGCGUGUGUGAAGAAGGCCCUCGGGUUGUAAAGCACUUUCAGUGAGGAAGAACGCCUGGUGGUUAAUACCCAUCAGGAAAGACAUCACUCACAGAAGAAGCACCGGCUAACUCCGUGCCAGCAGCCGCGGUAAUACGGAGGGUGCGAGCGUUAAUCGGAAUUACUGGGCGUAAAGCGCGCGUAGGUGGCUUGAUAAGCCGGUUGUGAAAGCCCCGGGCUCAACCUGGGAACGGCAUCCGGAACUGUCAAGCUAGAGUGCGGGAGAGGAAGGUAGAAUUCCCGGUGUAGCGGUGAAAUGCGUAGAGAUCGGGAGGAAUACCAGUGGCGAAGGCGGCCUUCUGGACUGACACUGACACUGAGGUGCGAAAGCGUGGGUAGCAAACAGGAUUAGAUACCCGAGUAGUC
rnacentral:rRNA from 1 species